rnacentral:rRNA from 5 species
AAAUUGAAGAGUUUGAUCAUGGCUCAGAUUGAACGCUGGCGGCAGGCCUAACACAUGCAAGUCGAACGGUAACAGGAAGCAGCUUGCUGCUUUGCUGACGAGUGGCGGACGGGUGAGUAAUGUCUGGGAAACUGCCUGAUGGAGGGGGAUAACUACUGGAAACGGUGGCUAAUACCGCAUAACGUCGCAAGACCAAAGAGGGGGACCUUCGGGCCUCUUGCCAUCAGAUGUGCCCAGAUGGGAUUAGCUUGUUGGUGAGGUAACGGCUCACCAAGGCGACGAUCCCUAGCUGGUCUGAGAGGAUGACCAGCCACACUGGAACUGAGACACGGUCCAGACUCCUACGGGAGGCAGCAGUGGGGAAUAUUGCACAAUGGGCGCAAGCCUGAUGCAGCCAUGCCGCGUGUAUGAAGAAGGCCUUCGGGUUGUAAAGUACUUUCAGCGGGGAGGAAGGUGUUGUGGUUAAUAACCACAGCAAUUGACGUUACCCGCAGAAGAAGCACCGGCUAACUCCGUGCCAGCAGCCGCGGUAAUACGGAGGGUGCAAGCGUUAAUCGGAAUUACUGGGCGUAAAGCGCACGCAGGCGGUCUGUCAAGUCGGAUGUGAAAUCCCCGGGCUCAACCUGGGAACUGCAUUCGAAACUGGCAGGCUUGAGUCUUGUAGAGGGGGGUAGAAUUCCAGGUGUAGCGGUGAAAUGCGUAGAGAUCUGGAGGAAUACCGGUGGCGAAGGCGGCCCCCUGGACAAAGACUGACGCUCAGGUGCGAAAGCGUGGGGAGCAAACAGGAUUAGAUACCCUGGUAGUCCACGCCGUAAACGAUGUCUACUUGGAGGUUGUGCCCUUGAGGCGUGGCUUCCGGAGCUAACGCGUUAAGUAGACCGCCUGGGGAGUACGGCCGCAAGGUUAAAACUCAAAUGAAUUGACGGGGGCCCGCACAAGCGGUGGAGCAUGUGGUUUAAUUCGAUGCAACGCGAAGAACCUUACCUGGUCUUGACAUCCACGGAAGUUUUCAGAGAUGAGAAUGUGCCUUCGGGAACCGUGAGACAGGUGCUGCAUGGCUGUCGUCAGCUCGUGUUGUGAAAUGUUGGGUUAAGUCCCGCAACGAGCGCAACCCUUAUCCUUUGUUGCCAGCGAUUAGGUCGGGAACUCAAAGGAGACUGCCAGUGAUAAACUGGAGGAAGGUGGGGAUGACGUCAAGUCAUCAUGGCCCUUACGACCAGGGCUACACACGUGCUACAAUGGCGCAUACAAAGAGAAGCGACCUCGCGAGAGCAAGCGGACCUCAUAAAGUGCGUCGUAGUCCGGAUUGGAGUCUGCAACUCGACUCCAUGAAGUCGGAAUCGCUAGUAAUCGUGGAUCAGAAUGCCACGGUGAAUACGUUCCCGGGCCUUGUACACACCGCCCGUCACACCAUGGGAGUGGGUUGCAAAAGAAGUAGGUAGCUUAACCUUCGGGAGGGCGCUUACCACUUUGUGAUUCAUGACUGGGGUGAAGUCGUAACAAGGUAACCGUAGGGGAACCUGCGGUUGGAUCACCUCCUUACCUGAAAGAAGC